rnacentral:lncRNA from 1 species
UUCCAAACUUUGGACCCUUGCGUUAGUAAAAAAAACUACCUCGCCGACUAUGGCAUAAUGAGUACGUGUUGACAGUUGCAACAUGAUCAUAGCUGUAAAGGACAAGAAUAGAUCUACAAUUCCCUUUCUUUUUCUUGUCUUCUUUUGAAUAAAAAUCUAGCGCAACUCAAAAAACAUUGGUGCUUGACAGUUGUUUUCUUAAAAUAAUUUGUUUUCCUAUUCAUGUUGUCUUUUUCACAUCUUUUGAUUGACUUUUGUUGCUUGACUAAUUUACGCAAUCAGCUGAAAGUGGAAGACCUUGGGAAUUUUUCAAAUUUGAAAUUUGUUUGAAAAUGUCAACAAAAUGUAUCAAUUAUUUCUCCGGCGUAAAUCAAGUAUCCUCUGAGCGUAACUGUAGAGACUAAUCCUGCAGAUAUUAAUCUCUCAAGUUUU